rnacentral:rRNA from 1 species
UACAGAGGUGGCGAGCGUUAUUCGGAAUUAUUGGGCGUAAAGGGCGCGUAGGCGGCCACGCAAGUCUUGGGUGAAAUCCCUCGGCUCAACCGAGGAACUGCCUUGGAAACUGCAUGGCUCGAGGCCGGGAGAGGGUAGCGGAAUUCCCAGUGUAGCGGUGAAAUGCGUAGAUAUUGGGAGGAACACCGGUGGCGAAGGCGGCUACCUGGACCGGUUCUGACGCUGAGGCGCGAAGGCUAGGGGAGCGAACGGG